CUGGUGAUUUUUGAUGUUUUAUUGAAUACAUGUUGAUGCAGAUGAGACGAGAGUGCAGAUUGAAAGGGCACAAUUAUGCCUUUUUAGGUGUUGCAGAAUGAUUUAGACAUCUUGCGGUCGUAGGUUGGUUUGUAGGUUGGCUUAAUUGAUAGUGAUCCUUAAACUUUGCAGUUCCAACCUAACAAUGAAAAGUUUCUCAAAGAUCCUAUAUGUGUUAAUUACCAAGUAUCCUCUAACUGCACCUAGCCAUUUGGGCAAAGAGCAGACUACAAGUUGUGGAGAUUCAGGAUUUGCUGGUUUCUUUACACUUGAAUGAUGAAUGAUCAGAGAGGAACUUAAACACAAGAAUGAUGGCAGUAUGAAUCUCUUAUUAUGAGCUUGGUGCUACAAAGUCGAAGGAGUGUUCAUCUUUUGUUUCAAAAUUAAGGAAACUGUAAUGAUUAGUUUGUAUUUUUGAUCUUUUUGUUCUUGUAAAGAUUGUCUUUUUUUAAAGAAAUGAUGUAAAUUGAUCUAUGUGAUACAAUAAUACUUGAUU